UCAUCGGUCGAGCAGCUGCAAAG
rnacentral:piRNA from 1 species